UCUGGGGUUUCCAUAGGGGUUUUAUGGGGUCUGGGGGUUUCCAUAGGGGGUUUUAUGGGGUCUGGGGGUUUCCAUAGGGGAUUUAUGGGAUCUGUGGGUUUCCAUAGGGGAUUUCUGGGGUCUGGGGGGUUUCCAUAGGGGAUUUAUGGGGUCUGGGGGUUUCCAUAGGGGAUCUGUGGGGUCUGGAGGUUUCCAUAGGGGUUUUUAUGGGUCUGGGGGUUUCCAUAGGGGAUUUAUGGGGUCUGGGGGUUUCCAUAGGGGAUUUAUGGGGUCUGGGGGUUUCCAUAUGGGAUUUAUGGGGUCUGGGGGUUCCCAUAGGGGAUUUAUGGGGUCUGGGGCUUCCAUAGGGGAUUUAUGGGGUCUGGGGGUUCCAUAUGGGAUUUAUGGGGUCUGGGGGUUUCCAUAGGGGAUUUAUGGGGUCUGGGGGUUUCUAUAGGGGUUUUAUGGGGUCUGGGGGUUUCCAUAGGGGAUUUAUGGGGUCUGGGGGUUUCCAUAGGGGAUUUAUGGGGUCUGGGGGUUUCCAUAGGGGAUUUAUGGGGUCUGGGGGUUUCUAUAGGGGUUUUAUGGGGUCUGGGGGCUUCCAUAGGGGAUUUAUGGGGUCUGGGUUUCCAUAGGGGGAUUUAUGGGGUCUGGGGGUUUCCAUAGGGGAUUUGUGGGGGCCCUGGGGGUUUCCAUAGGGGAUCUGUGGGGUCUGGGUUUUCCAUAGGGGAUUUGUGGGGUUUGUGAGGUGCCUAUGGGGGAUUUAUGGGGUCUGGGGGUUUCCAUAGGACUUUUAUGGGGUCUGGGGGUUUCCAUAGGGGAUUUGUGGGGUCUGGGGGUUUCCAUAGGGGGAUUUAUGGGGUCUGGGGUUUCCAUAGGGGAUUUAUGGGGUCUGGGGGUUUCCAUAGGGUAUUUGUGGGGUCUGGGGGUUUCCAUAGGGGAUUUAUGGGGUCUGGGUUUCCAUAGGGCAUUUGUGGGGCUUGUGAGGUGCCUAUGGGGGUUUUAUGGGGUCUGGGGGUUUCCAUAGGGGAUUUAUGGGGUCUGGGGGUUUCUAUAGGGGAUUUAUGGGGUCUGGGGGUUUCCAUAGGGGAUUUGUGGGGUCUGGGGGUUCCUGUAGGGGAUUU